ACUUGGGAUGGACUACAGCUCAGGGGCAGAGUAUCUGCUUUAUAUGCAGAAAGUUCCAGGUUCAAUCUCUGGAUCUCCAAGCA